UACGUAGGUGGCAAGCGUUGUCCGGAAUUAUUGGGCGUAAAGCGCGCGCAGGCGGUCUCUUAAGUCUGAUGUGAAAGCCCACGGCUCAACCGUGGAGGGUCAUUGGAAACUGGGAGACUUGAGUGCAGGAGAGAAAAGUGGAAUUCCACGUGUAGCGGUGAAAUGCGUAGAGAUGUGGAGGAACACCAGUGGCGAAGGCGGCUUUUUGGCCUGUAACUGACGCUGAGGCGCGAAAGCGUGGGGAGCAAACAGGAUUAGAAACCCCCGUAGUCC
rnacentral:rRNA from 1 species